AUAAGAAAGAUAACAAAAUAGAUUGUAAAAUACUCGGCAAAAAACUGUUAAGGCUGCGUUUGGUUCAGAUAUAAAUAAGAACUGCUUGUUCCAGGGAUAGGUACAAGUUCAGGUAUAAGCAGGAACUAGACCAAUUUUGCGUUUGGAUAAAAAUUGAGUUGUUUCUAGGAAUAAGGUAAAUAGCGUUUCGAUGGUGAAAUUUGAACAAGCGGAAUAAAAGUUAUAAUUUGAAAUUAAAAUUAUAUUAUCUAAUUAAUUAACAUCAAAAUAUUACUUAAAAAUAAAUAAUAAAUAAAUUAUUAAUAAAUAAUUAUAAAUAAUAAUAAUAAUUAAUUAUUAAUUAUUAAUUAUUAAUUAUUAUCAUUAAUUAAUUAUUAUUAAUUAUUUAUAAUUAUUUAUAAGUAAUAAAUUAAUUAAUUAUUAAUAAAUUAUUAAUAAUUAUUACUUAAUUAAUUAAUUAUUAAUAACUAUUAAUAAUUAUUUAUAAGUAAUAAAUUAAUUAAAAAUAAUUAUCUAAUUAUUAAUAAUUAAUUAUAAAUCAUUAUUAAUAAAUAAUAAUAAUUAUUUAAUUAUUAAUUAUUAAUAAUAAAUUACUAAUAAUAUCGAUUAUCUAAUUAAUAAGAAUAAUUAUUUUAUUUUAUUAUUAAUUAAUAAUUAAAUAAUAAUAUUAAUAAUUAAUUAUAAGUAAUAAAUUAAUUAAUAAUAAUUAUCUAAUUAUUAAUAAUUAAUUAUAAAUAAUAAAUUAAUAAUAAUAUCGAUUAUCUAUUUCUUAAGAAUAAUAAUUAUUAAUAAUAAUUAUUUAAUUAAUAAUUAUUAAUAAAUAAUAAUUAUUAAAUUAAUAAUUAUUAUUAUCUAAUUAUAAAUAAUUAAUUAUAUAUAAUUAUUUGUUUAUUUAUUUUAUUAUUUAAGCAAUAGAUAAUAAUUCAAAUAUAUUAAUUAGAUUAAUUAAUAAUUUACUAUCAUUAAAAUUUAAAUUUAGAUUUAAUUAACCUUGUUCUCAUUCGAGAACAAGCUUGUUUCAGGAAAAAGAUGGAACAACAGUUUCAGCCAGUUCCAGUCUUAUACCAGCUAGUUCCAGAAACCCGGAAACUACUGUUCUUGUGUACCAAACGCUACGUUUGGGAACAAAAGGGGGAACAAGAGCUUAUUCUCCCCCUUGUUCCCGAACCAAACGCUAUCUUAGGAUUUGGCUAGAUUUGUAGAUGAAUUCUAGUUGGAUAAAAAAAUUAAUAUUUAAAUUUAGUGGAGAUUAUUAAGAUUUAAAUGUUAAUUAGAGUAUAAGUAUAAUUAGAUUAGGAUAAAUAUUUGAAUCUAUUGGAGAUAAAUCAAUUAAAAUUUUAAAUAUUUAUUAGAGUAAGAAUUGUAAAUAUAUUAGGAUUUUUGUAUAUUUUGGAUGGAGCUUUUUGUAUAGGGCCAUGAUGCGCAAAUUGUAAUGUGCCUAAGUGGUGCGCCGAUGAGAGAUAGCUUUUUAUGGUGAUGACCGUACCGUGGAAAAGUCUAGGCCCAGUUGUAUACACCUAGUGCACAAGCACAUAUGAGAGAGAAAAAGAGAAAGUUGUUUUCUUGUGGGUUUAUAAAAGACGAGAGAAUAAUAGCAGAGAUUCAAAAAAGAGAACUCGAGUUAUAGUAACUACCCUAUGCAGAAGGAAUAUUCUUUUCUUAUUUAAUGAAUCUUAUUUUAUCCGCAUAUUUUCUGUUUGGUUGUCUUUCUCUCUUUCAGCUGCUGCUAAGAAAACGAGUUUAUAGUAAAAAUCCAAUUCGACGCUUUCGUUGCAAAAUCCGAACCGAAUCAACAGCAGUCGGUAUCGGAACGGAUUGCGAAUUCUCAAAAUUCAAUACCAGGGCGAGUACCAGAUUCCCAACAAAAAUGCUCCAAAAAUAAUUUUAACACCUAAAACAGUUUACAAACCGUAUAAUAAAAUAGUUAAAUUUCAU
rnacentral:lncRNA from 1 species